UCGAUUCCUGCAAAGCAGAACGACCCGCGAACUCGUCACCCGUCCCGGGGGGGGCGGAAGGGUAACUCCUCCCCGCCCUCCCGCUGCCGCAGGGGCGCGUCCUCCCGAGGGCGCGCUCCCUGCGGCCUAACAACGAACCCCCCGGCGCGAGAAGCGCCAAGGAAACAGAACGGAAGAGCGCGGGCCGGAUGCCCUGUUCGCAGCGCGCAGGCGUAACCCGCGCGAUUCUCCUAAAUUCUAAACGACUCUCGGCAACGGAUAUCUCGGCUCUCGCAUCGAUGAAGAAACGUAGCGAAAUGCGAUACUUGGUGUGAAUUGCAGAAUCCCGUGAACCAUCGAGUCUUUGAACGCAAGUUGCGCCCGAAGCCAUUAGGCCGAGGGCACGUCUGCCUGGGUGUCACGCACUCGUUGCCCCCCAAGCCCCGUCCGACACGGACGCGGGACUGUCGGGCAGACAGUGGUCUCCCGUGCGCACCCGUUCGCGGUUGGCCUAAAACCGAGUCCCCGGCGUCACGCGUCGCGACCAGCGGUGGUUGGUAACCCUUCGGAUCCCGUCGCGCGCCGGCUGCCGAAACGCGGGACUCUAGACCCACGCGUGUCAUUGCGAUGGCCGCUCAAUCGCGACCCCAGGUCAGGC
rnacentral:misc_RNA from 1 species